UACGGGGGGGGCAAGCGUUGUUCGGAAUUACUGGGCGUAAAGGGCUCGUAGGUGGCCAACUAAGUCGGACGUGAAAUCCCUCGGCUUAACCGGGGAACUGCGUCCGAUACUGGUUGGCUUGAGUUUGGGAGAGGGAUGCGGAAUUCCAGGUGUAGCGGUGAAAUGCGUAGAUAUCUGGAGGAACACCGGUGGCGAAGGCGGCGUUCUGGACUGCAUCUGACACUGAAAGACGAAAGCCAGGGGAGCAAACGGG
rnacentral:rRNA from 1 species